rnacentral:rRNA from 1 species
GUGCACGCUGGCGGUAGGCCUAACCCAUGCCAGUCGAACGGCAGCACAGUAAGAGCUUGCUCUUACGGGUGGCGAGUGGCGGACGGGUGAGGAAUACAUCGGAAUCUACUUUUUCGUGGGGGAUAACGUAGGGAAACUUACGCUAAUACCGCAUACGAUCUACGGGUGAAAGCAGGGGAUCUUCGGACCUUGCGCGAUUGAAUGAGCCGAUGUCGGAUUAGCUAGUUGGCGGGGUAAAGGGCCACCAAGGCGACGAUCCGUAGCUGGUCUGAGAGGAUGAUCAGCCACACUGGAACUGAGACACGGUCCAGACUCCUACGGGAGGCAGCAGUGGGGAAUAUUGGACAAUGGGCGCAAGCCUGAUCCAGCCAUACCGCGUGGGUGAAGAAGGCCUUCGGGUUGUAAAGCCCUUUUGUUGGGAAAGAAAAGCAGCAGGUUAAUACCCCGCUGUUCUGACGGUACCCAAAGAAUAAGCACCGGCUAACUUCGUG